AAAAAGAACUUUUGCUGUGAGUGGUACAUGUCGGGCAGCUUGCUUGCUCUAUGUGUGGAAUCAAUAUCAAGAGACUGCAGAGGAUAAGUUUUUGGCAGUAGGGCAUCUGAUAAUCGUUGGUCCUGGCAACCCA